AAAUAAUAAAUAUAUCAUUAACCUAUAAAUUAGAAGUUGAAGAGCUUACAUUAAUUAUUUAAUAGACACAUGUCAAAUGCUAAAGUGAUGAUGUGUCAAUCAUAUGGAGAGAAGAGUUGGCUAACUUUCAUAUAUAUGAUUUGAAUUAUGGCUCGUUGUAAAACAAAA
rnacentral:sRNA from 1 species